GGCGAACGCUGGCGGCGUGCUUAACACAUGCAAGUCGAACGGAAAGGCCCUGCUUUUGUGGGGUGCUCGAGUGGCGAACGGGUGAGUAACACGUGAGUAACCUGCCCUUGACUUUGGGAUAACUUCAGGAAACUGGGGCUAAUACCGGAUAGGAGCUCCUGCUGCAUGGUGGGGGUUGGAAAGUUUCGGCGGUUGGGGAUGGACUCGCGGCUUAUCAGCUUGUUGGUGGGGUAGUGGCUUACCAAGGCUUUGACGGGUAGCCGGCCUGAGAGGGUGACCGGCCACAUUGGGACUGAGAUACGGCCCAGACUCCUACGGGAGGCAGCAGUGGGGAAUAUUGCACAAUGGGCGGAAGCCUGAUGCAGCAACGCCGCGUGCGGGAUGACGGCCUUCGGGUUGUAAACCGCUUUCGCCUGUGACGAAGCGUGAGUGACGGUAAUAGGUAAAGAAGCACCGGCUAACUACGUG
rnacentral:rRNA from 1 species